rnacentral:rRNA from 2 species
CUAAUACAUGCAAGUCGAACGGUAGCACAGAGAGCUUGCUCUCGGGUGACGAGUGGCGGACGGGUGAGUAAUGUCUGGGAAACUGCCCGAUGGAGGGGGAUAACUACUGGAAACGGUAGCUAAUACCGCAUAACGUCGCAAGACCAAAGAGGGGGACCUUCGGGCCUCUUGCCAUCGGAUGUGCCCAGAUGGGAUUAGCUUGUAGGUGAGGUAACGGCUCACCUAGGCGACGAUCCCUAGCUGGUCUGAGAGGAUGACCAGCCACACUGGAACUGAGACACGGUCCAGACUCCUACGGGAGGCAGCAGUGGGGAAUAUUGCACAAUGGGCGCAAGCCUGAUGCAGCCAUGCCGCGUGUAUGAAGAAGGCCUUCGGGUUGUAAAGUACUUUCAGCGGGGAGGAAGGGAGUGAGGUUAAUAACCUUAUUCAUUGACGUUACCCGCAGAAGAAGCACCGGCUAACUCCGUGCCAGCAGCCGCGGUAAUACGGAGGGUGCAAGCGUUAAUCGGAAUUACUGGGCGUAAAGCGCACGCAGGCGGUCUGUCAAGUCGGAUGUGAAAUCCCCGGGCUCAACCUGGGAACUGCAU